rnacentral:rRNA from 1 species
UACGUAGGGUGCAAGCGUUGUCCGGAAUUAUUGGGCGUAAAGAGCUCGUAGGCGGUUUGUCGCGUCUGCUGUGAAAACGCGAGGCUCAACCUCGCGCCUGCAGUGGGUACGGGCAGACUAGAGUGCGGUAGGGGAGAUUGGAAUUCCUGGUGUAGCGGUGGAAUGCGCAGAUAUCAGGAGGAACACCGAUGGCGAAGGCAGAUCUCUGGGCCGUAACCGACGCUGAGGAGCGAAAGCGUGGGGAGCGAACAGG